GACGAACGCUGGCGGCGUGCUUAACACAUGCAAGUCGAACGGAAAGGCCCUGCUUUUGUGGGGUGCUCGAGUGGCGAACGGGUGAGUAACACGUGAGUAACCUGCCCUUGACUUUGGGAUAACUUCAGGAAACUGGGGCUAAUACCGGAUAUGAGCUCCUGCUGCAUGGUGGGGGUUGGAAAGUUUCGGCGGUUGGGGAUGGACUCGCGGCUUAUCAGCUUGUUGGUGGGGUAGUGGCUUACCAAGGCUUUGACGGGUAGCCGGCCUGAGAGGGUGACCGGCCACAUUGGGACUGAGAUACGGCCCAGACUCCUACGGGAGGCAGCAGUGGGGAAUAUUGCACAAUGGGCGGAAGCCUGAUGCAGCAACGCCGCGUGCGGGAUGACGGCCUUCGGGUUGUAAACCGCUUUCGCCUGAGACGAAGCGUGAGUGACGGUAAUGGGUAAAGAAGCACCGGCUAACUACGUG
rnacentral:rRNA from 1 species